UCCAUUUAGGAUUUAUCUAGGGUUUAUUUACCCCAGUUCUUAAAACCUUUUUGAUUGGCCUUUGUAGUUUCCCGAUCUUAUUACCCAAAUGGUUCGCUCUCAUGGCGUCACUCUCGUUAAUCGCCUUUCUCUCCGAUCUUUCCGUGGUGCCAACAAUUCUGUACGCAUCUUUUCGACUUCUUUUUCAGGGUGCUUCAAUGAAAUAUGGUUUUCCAAUUGUGCUGCAAAUUCUCAUUUGCAGGUUUAUCAAUCAGUGUUCCAAAGGGGUUAUAGGACACUGAACUCUGGGCUUUUCCAUCCAUCGAGAGUUACUGGUAGUUUUACGUCUAAUGUUGGAGGUGGCUUUAAUUUGAAGAAAUGGUUACUAUUGGGGGCUGCAAAUAAAUAUUGGGAGGCAUCUAGAUUAAUUCAUGGCUCAGGCACGAGCAUCAUCACCUUUCUUAAGGUGUGCAAGAGCAGUGAACAGCUGAAGCAAGUGCACGCUUCCAUCAUCUACCGAGGCCUUGAGCAAAACCACUUCCUCAUCUCCCUUUUCAUUCCCCUCUCACACACCCUCUCUACUCUCUCCUACACCUCAUCUGUCUUCCUCCGUGUACUCACCCCUUCAACCUUCCUUUGGAACACUCUCAUCCAAUCCCAUUGCCACAAUAGCUGCUUCUCCCAAACCCUCACUACCUUCGCUCGCAUGAAGGGGCACGGGGUCCUUCCUGACAACUUCACCUACCCUUCUGUCAUUAAGGCCUGUUGCGCCGCGUGCAUGCCGCGAGAAGGAAAAUCGCUUCAUGGGUCUGCGUUCAGGUGUGGAGUCCAUCGAGAUCUCUACGUGGCCACUGGUUUAGUCGACAUGUAUGGCAAAUUUGGGCAGAUUGCUGAUGCUCGCAGGGUUUUUGAUGGAAUAUCUAAGAGGAGUGUCAUUUCUUGGACUGCUAUGCUUGUUGGGUAUGUUUCUGUUGGGGAUGUUGUGGAGGCCAAGAAGCUGUUUAAUGAGAUGCCGCAGAGAAAUGUGGCUUCUUGGAAUGCAAUGUUGCAAGGUUUUAUCAAGUUGAGGAAUUUGAGUGGUGCUAGGGACGUGUUUGAGGCUAUGCCGGAGAAGAAUGUUGUUUCUUUGACCAUCAUGAUUGAUGGGUAUGCUAAGGUGGGUGACAUGGUGGCCGCGAGGUUCUUGUUUGAUCGUGCUCCCAUAAAGGAUGUUGUUGCUUGGUCUGCUUUGAUAUCGGGUUAUGUUCAGAAUGGGCAGCCUAAUCAGGCGUUGAAAGUGUUUUUUGAGAUGGAAUCGAUGAAUGUGAAGCCUGAUGAGUUCAUACUGGUUAGCUUGAUGUCGGCUUCAGCGCAAUUGGGACACUUAGAACUCGCUCAAUGGGUUGAUUCUUAUGUAAACAAGAGUUGUAUUGAUCUUCAACAGGACCAUGUAAUUGCAGCGCUUCUGGAUAUGAAUGCAAAAUGUGGAAACAUGGAUAGAGCUUUGAAAUUGUUUGAGGAAAGACCUAAACGAGAUCUAGUCUUGUAUUGUUCGAUGAUACAAGGGUUGUCAAUUCAUGGGCGUGGGGAACAAGCCGUGAAUCUGUUUAACAGGAUGCUGAUGGAAGGGUUGUAUCCGGAUGAGGUGUCCUUCAUUGUCAUUCUCACAGCCUGCAGUCAUGCUGGGCUUGUUGAUGAGGGCUGGAACUACUUCCAAUCCAUGAAGCAAAAAUACUACAUUAGUCCUUCGUCUGAUCACUACGCGUGUAUGGUUGAUCUUCUAAGCCGGUCAGGAUACAUAAGGGAUGCUUAUGAACUUUUAAAAUUAAUGCCUGAACCUCAUGCCGGUGCCUGGAAUGCACUUCUUGGGGCAUGUAACCUAUAUGGUGAUUCAGAGCUGGGAGAGAUUGUUGCCAAUCGACUUUCACAGUUUGUUGAUCUAAAUGCAGGUUCCUAUGUGCUGUUGUCUAACAACUAUGCGGCAACAGGGCAAUGGAUUAAUGUUUCCCGUGUGAGAAGUAAGAUGAGGGAAAGGAGAGUACAUAAGAUACCUGGUUGCAGUAAAAUUUAGUCCAGGGCCGAGUUGUUCUGGUAUUUAAAGUUCUGAAAUGGGAAAUUUGGUUACAGAACAUUGAAGCCGAUCAGAAUUCAUUUUCAACUGAUCUGGAAGCUUUAGCUGUUGCCCCAUAUACUGCUUUCUCUCAUCGGUAUGCGUCACUGCACUAUUAUUCUAAAGCUAGGGUUCGAGAAGAUUGAGAGAAAUGCGAAGAGAGUUCCAUGGUUUCUUCCCCAAGAUGCACUAGGAGGCUCGAUUCAUGGACCAGAGAGUGUCUACAAAGGAUUGAAGCUGCAAAAGGGGCUGAUUGAGGGGCGCGAACAAAACCCUUUGUUAAAGCUGGUGCGAAGUCACUCGAAGAGGAGUGCGAAGCAUGCUGUCGAAAGCUCACCGUCGUCGAGGGUUCGCCGCCAUCAUUGAAGGUUUUCCGUUGUCAAAAGCUUUGCCGCACUCUGCCAUAACACUUCUCCUUUAGCUGGAACUGUGCAAUCCAAAGUUCCAUUGCUUUCAGGAUAAGAUGGAUAUCUUAGCUCCCCACAAGGACCCAUCCCCACUUGAAUUUCCUGCAAAUGAAUUUAGUCUCAGUACUUCAUAUCUAAAACAAAUUCCUCAGUUCCUAGUUUAUUAUCAAUUUAUAAGUGCUUUCCCUCCAUUCCCCUUACACUUGUGAAUUCUUGGCACUUACUGGAGGAAGGUUGAUUGGGAAGGAAAUAAUUGCAUGCAUAUAAUGUUACAGGUGAAUUCUUGGCACUUACUGGAGGAAGGUUGAGUGGGAAGGAAAUAAUUGCUGCUGAACUGGCAACUCAUUUUGUCCUUUCUGAGAAAAUUGGUGAGCUAGAGAAGCGCUUGAUUAGCUUGAAUUUGGAAGUGAGGCUCAAAGUGAAGAUUUGGAAUGGCGGAUCUCGUGGAAUUUCCAGUCAAGUAGAAGCACCGAAAACACCUGAAAAUAAUUGACAUUAAUUGACAGUAUUGGACUUGGGCAUUGUUGAUAUGUCAUGGAUGAUCAUCUUACUGAAGUAUGGGCCAAGUUACCUUAUCUUUAUUUGAUUAGCUUAUUAGUUUGUACGUUAGUGACCUUUCUCUUGUUUAUUUUCACUUUUCUCCAAAUCAAAAUCUUGUUUUUGAAGUCUAUUGAAUGUUUCCAUUUUAAUAUAAUUUAAUAGAUGGUUUUGUGGUUUAA